GAUGAACGCUGGCGGCGUGCCUAAUACAUGCAAGUAGAACGCUGAAGGAGGAGCUUGCUCUUCUGGAUGAGUUGCGAACGGGUGAGUAACGCGUAGGUAACCUGCCUGGUAGCGGGGGAUAACUAUUGGAAACGAUAGCUAAUACCGCAUGACAACAGUUAUUGCAUGAUAACUGUUUAAAAGGGGCAACUGCUCCACUACCAGAUGGACCUGCGUUGUAUUAGCUAGUUGGUGAGGUAACGGCUCACCAAGGCGACGAUACAUAGCCGACCUGCGAGGGUGAUCGGCCACACUGGGACUGAGACACGGCCCAGACUCCUACGGGAGGCAGCAGUAGGGAAUCUUCGGCAAUGGACGGAAGGCUGACCGAGCAACGCCGCGUGAGUGAAGGAGGUUUUCGGAUCGUAAAGCUCUGUUGUAAGAGAAGAACGAGUGUGAGAGUGGAAAGUUCACACUGUGACGGUAUCUUACCAGAAAGGGACGGCUAACUACGUG
rnacentral:rRNA from 1 species